CCAGGCCAGGCAAGGGAAAAGCAAUGUUGUCCGAGUUGUGAGACCCCAGAAAAAGACAUAAUUUUCUAGGACAUAGGAACCAUAGGACUACGAGGAUGGUUGAUGUGGACAUGGAAGUGAAAAGGACACCUAAGGCAGUUUUGGCAGAGCCCAGUUGAAACACUUGAAAAUGUAACUCAACAAGUUUUAACAGCUGAAUAUGGAUUUCUCUGACAUCUCCUUUUUAGGUCAAUGAUGGAAGAGCAUACUAUUCAUGUAUUACUGGCUAUGAGGCGAUUGAAUGUGCUGGAAGACCAAAAGAACCAUGAACUUGUUUGAUGAUUGGCUGCCUUCACCAUGCCGGGGGAUGGAGCCAAGAGAUGAAAACUCCAGGAUGAGGAUGUGAGAGGAGACGAUACAACAUCACAUCGAUGACGCUGUGAAGUCAUCAGGAAUAUGAGGAUCUACAUUGCAGUAUGAUUGGUUGCCUUCACCAUGCCAGAGGAUGGCGCCAAGAGAAGACACAACAUCACAUCAAUGACUCUGUGAAGUCAUCAGCAAUAUGAGGAUCUACAUUGCAGAAUGAUUGGCUGCCUUCAUCAUGCCGGGGCAUGGAGCCGAGAGAUGAAAACUCCUCAAUGGAGAUGUGAGAGAAGACACAACAUCACAUCAAUGGCAACUCUGUGGAGUCAUUGGGAAUAUGAAGAUCUACAUUGCAGGAUGCUGUACAGCAUUUGGAUUAGCUGUUCCCCCCGUCUCAGUUGCCUAAGGUUAGUAAACCAUGGGCUAUCAAGUUGCAUUUUCUGUCAACUCAACUCAUACAAAGAAGUGUAUAUUUACAAUUAAUCUGACAUUUUCAAAUUGAGGGGGGGGGGGGGGGGUUGUACCCGUUAUGCAAUUCUGAAUGUAGAAGUAUAUUGUUUUCCUGAUCCAUACAAAAAUAUUCUGGAUGUUUUAUAUUUCACUUCAUUCUUUAUUUAUUUUUUAAAAUAUGCAAACACUAAAAUAUAUACAAAGCAUUUCAAGGUAAAAUGGGGUGUGUAUGUUGUGAGGCAAUGUUUUAAUCACGAAUAGAUAUCUUAUUAAUUAUACAACAGCAAUAUUCUUCUGAUUCUGUUAAUGCUGGUGACAGAAAAUCAUGAAGUAUGGAGACUGCCCUGUGAUGACAAAAGAUGCCUUAUUCAGAAACUGGGGUGUGAACAUCCCAUCAUACACCUUUCUUACAUUCUAAUGCUACUCUUCUCCUGCUCUUGUUUCUCUUUUCUUUCCUUUCCUUAUUUUCCCUCUCAUUCUCUAUGGGAUGUUUGCAGUUUGAACCAGUUUGGUGAGAAUCAAUGUCUGAGGGCACAUUUUGCAAACCAAUUUCGAAAUGGACUUAUGUGCAUUACGAAAUAUUGUAAUGUGGUUAUUGUAGGGACAUCACUCAUAUUAUGUUGCGACUUAUGUGGUGAGAUUUUAGGUAUUAUAUAAGUCACAUGAGAUAUCUUUGACGUUUCGUUAUUUGAUCAUUAAAUUAUUUUUAUUUUUCUCUCUGUCCAAAGCUUGGUCAACAUCGCUGGUUCAUCAGAUCUGAUUCAAAAGAACUGGAGGGCAUUUUAAAGCUAUCUGUGAGAAAAUGCAAGUGGACUUAUAACUCAACUGAAGACAUCUAGAGGACGGCCCCAGUGCUGUAGGAAUUUUAGACCUACAGCUAGUAAACAAUACAACUUUUAAUUUCAAUUUUGCCGCUGUAAGUUGCAUGGGACAUACCCAAAAGUAGGGAGACUCACUCGAGUGAAAACCUGAAUAACUCACUGGCAUUUUGAUAGUGAGCAUUUGCCAAAACCAAUCUUUGAGGUUUUUCAUGCUUAUAAGUGAUUGCUUUCCAAUUCCAAUGAAA